rnacentral:rRNA from 1 species
UACGUAGGGUGCAAGCGUUAAUCGGAAUUACUGGGCGUAAAGCGCACGUAGGCGGCGCUGUAAGUCGGAUGUGAAAUCCCCGGGCUUAACCUGGGAACUGCAUUCGAGACUGCAGUGCUCGAGUAUGGAAGAGGAAGGCGGAAUUCCAGGUGUAGCGGUGAAAUGCGUAGAUAUCUGGAGGAACAUCAGUGGCGAAGGCGGCCUUCUGGUCCAAUACUGACGCUCAGGUGCGAAAGCGUGGGGAGCAAACAGG